CGAUCUCGUUGAGCAUGCGCACGAUCGUCUUGCGGCGGCGGUCGAAGGCCUCGCGCAUCGUCGCCACGGCGUCCAGGUCGCCGGAGACCGC
rnacentral:tRNA from 1 species